ensembl:lncRNA
UGGACAGUAACAAACAUGCUUAUGGAGAGACUUACAAAUGGCACACCAUUGGGAAAGCUUUUCGUUUUUAGUCGUGGAAAAUUCUCAAUAAGAGUUCUCAAUAAACUUCUCAAGGCAAACAGGUAUUAAUAUACUGAACGGUUUAUUUCAUGUUAUUCAAAACUCUAAGCAUAAGGCAAGAGCGAUCAAGCAGACUAACUCAGGACAAAGUUCCAGAGCCCUUUGUAUAGAUCUAGCCACCUCUCUUCUUCCCUGUAGCCCUGUUAUUGCUUACCUAAUCAGACUUAACCACAUCGAGAACCUAUUUUUAAUAGCGUGCAUACUGCACAGUGUCCUGCGAUAACAGGUGUCCCGCUUUUUCAGGUAUGGAGUCUGGAGACUGCCUAUCUCGUGGCCUCUUGUGGCCUUUCAGAAGCGUCUUAGAGUAACCUGUGACCCCGUCAUGGCCUCUCAGAAGCGCCUUUCUGGAGGCCUGUGACCUCAUCAUGGCCUCUCAGAUGCACCUAUCUGAAGGCCUGUGACCCUGUCAUGGCCUUUCAGAAGCGUCAUGGCCUGUGACCUUGUUUAUCAGAAAAGGUAUCUCUGCCACAUGGUUUAUCAGAAAAGGUAUCUCUGCCACGUGGUUUAUCAGAAAAGGUAUCUCUGCCACAUGGUUUAUCAGAAAAGGUAUCUCUGCCACGUGGUUUAUCAGAAAAGGUAUCUCUGCCACGUGGUUUAUCAGAAAAGGUAUCUCUGCCACGUGGUUUAUCAGAAAAGGUAUCUCUGCCACGUGGUUUAUCAGAAAAGGCCCUUCUGCCGUGUGGCAGCCUUCACAUCUAACUGCUACUUCUAUGUUACUUGAGAUGUCCAUGUUCCAGUUCCAGCAAUACACACAUUAUUCAACAAUUCAGUCAUAAGUAGGUAAAAAAACGACAUUUUCACUCGGCCCGUGAGUGACCCUCCAAUCAAUGCCAUGGUACAAAGGAGAGAGGCUCUCCUGGUUAUUUUCAGAACGACCUCCUUCCAGAUUGUGUGCUGUUUUCUCUGGCAUACAGAGUCUGCUUUUAACUGGAGUGUGCAGCGCUGUGUGGUCCUCUUAUAAGGGUGGGUUUCUACGAACAGAGGAGUCUCAAGGGUCAAUGCCAUGUGGCCCACUGUUCCAACAGGAACCAUGGAGACGGCUAAAACUCGCUUUCCGAGUUCAAGACACCUGCGUGAAGACUCCACACUAGUCAGCGCAGGAUCCUAUUAAAAAGUGUUGGAACUAAUUGGACUGAAAAACAGACAUCUCCUGGACCAAAAUCCCUUAGUGUGGACUUGGAAAAGAAAGAGCGAAAGAGCAGCAGACGACAAAAGGCUUUACACUCCCUCUGUUCGACUGACAUUUUCCUCUUGGCCUG